AUACGUAGGUGGCAAGCGUUGUCCGGAUUUACUGGGCGUAAAGGGAGCGUAGGCGGAUUUUUAAGUGGGAUGUGAAAUCCCCGGGCUCAACCCGGGGGCUGCAUUCCAAACUGGAAAUCUAGAGUGUCGGAGAGGAAAGCAGAAUUCCUAGUGUAGCGGUGAAAUGCGUAGAGAUUAGGAAGAAUACCAGUGGCGAAGGCGGCUUUCUGGACGAUAACUGACGCUGAGGCUCGAAAGCGUGGGGAGCAAACAGGAUUAGAUACCCUGGUAGUCCACGCCGUAAACGAUGGAUACUAGGUGUAGGAGGGUCCAACCUUCUGUGCCGCCGCAAACGCAUUAAGUAUCCCGCCUGGGGAGUACGGUCGCAAGAUUAAA
rnacentral:rRNA from 1 species